GAUGAACGCUGGCGGCGUGCCUAAUACAUGCAAGUCGAGCGAACAGACGAGGAGCUUGCUCCUCUGACGUUAGCGGCGGACGGGUGAGUAACACGUGGAUAACCUACCUAUAAGACUGGGAUAACUUCGGGAAACCGGAGCUAAUACCGGAUAAUAUAUUGAACCGCAUGGUUCAAUAGUGAAAGACGGUUUUGCUGUCACUUAUAGAUGGAUCCGCGCCGCAUUAGCUAGUUGGUAAGGUAACGGCUUACCAAGGCAACGAUGCGUAGCCGACCUGAGAGGGUGACCGGCCACACUGGAACUGAGACACGGUCCAGACUCCUACGGGAGGCAGCAGUAGGGAAUCUUCGGCAAUGGGCGAAAGCCUGACGCAGCAACGCCGCGUGAGUGAUGAAGGUCUUCGGAUCGUAAAGCUCUGUUAUUCGGGAAGAACAAAUGUGUAAGUAACUAUGCACGUCUUGACGGUACCUAAUCAGAAAGCCACGGCUAACUACGUG
rnacentral:rRNA from 1 species